ACACUUACCUGGCAGGGGAAAUACCAUGAUCACAGGGUGGUUUCCCAGGGUUAAGCUCACCCAUUGCACUCCAAAUAUGCUGACUCCUGGGAUUUCCCAAAUGCAAGAAACUUGACUGCAUAAUUUGUGGUAUUAGGGGACUGGGUUCGUGCUCUCCCAUG